AAACGCGGGAAACUCAGCUUGAUUUUAUGGCUAUGUAUACUACUAAAACUGGAUAAUUAAGCGCUUAUUUAAAUUUUUUGGCUUUAAAACCUAAUAUAUUUUAAAACUAGAAGAGUUUAUCUUUAUAUUAAAAAAAAAAAUUAGACUUGGGUUACUUUUUUUAAAUUUAAAAACAGUGCACAUCAAAUACUAUUAUUUAGCUAUAAAUAAAUAUAAAAAUGACUGAGUCUCAUAUAACAAAAUUUAAAAAAUUAUGUCGAAUAUGUGGAGAAAAACUUUGAAAUCGUAGUGUUUUUUUAAAAAACCAUGUAAAUAGAAUAGAAUUGCAUUUUUUUAUACGAAUCGACAACGACGACCCAAAGAUGCACCCACAGAAGAUGUGUUACAGAUGCUAUUCAAUAAUGAGAAACAUAGAAAAAGGUUCCAAUACUAAUCUUAAAUUAAGAACCUUGAUUAGCAAUUGCCAGAAAUAUGAAUGUGUUUGCUUUAAAGUAAAUGAAGGAAGGAAACCAAAGAAAACUGUAAAAGGAAGGCCCUUGAGUAUAGCUAAUGAAGAAAUUUGGACUCGACAAGCAAUAAAUGACAUACAAGCUAAACUUUCACCUCUUCCAACUUUAAAUCUAAAACUACAAGACAUUAACCAAAACUUCAACCCACAUGUACAUCUUUGUGUCUGUUAUAUUUGUAAUAGUAUUAUGUAUAAACCAGUUAUCUUAAAAAACUGUCUGCAUUCGUUUUGUGCACCAUGUAUAUUACCACUUAUUAAUAAUAAAUUAUUAUCUAAAAUAAAAUGCCCUAAAUGCUUUUUUCAAUUUCAAUUAAUGAAUUAACCUCCUCUAGCAAUGUUAUUGAAAUGAUAAAUAAUAUUCAAGAAGAAUGUGAGCAACGUUGUGGUAGAUUAUUUAAAGUGUCACAACUGUCAGAACGCCUGAGUCAUCAAAAUAUUUUUCAGACACCAAUACCAAUUUCCACAACAUUGUCAACAUCAUCAACAUCACAAACAAGUCUAUCAGAUAUAUUUGCAUUAAAUUCAACAAGUGUUAUCACAAGGGAUAUUGAUGCUGUUGCACUUCAUAUUAUUAAACAAAAAAUGUUGCAAACAACAUCCAACGUAAUAGAAUUUCAGACGGAUGGACCAAGGCCUUUAUGCUUUACAUCAACACCAAAUGCAUGUAAAAAAAGUAAAGAUGCAACUUUACGAACAGUUCGCAAACAACAAUUACAGUUAAACGAUUAGAUAAGCACAACGUAUGGUGAAAGCAUUAGGUCGAAAAUCAAGCAAACCACUACUCUUUUGGAAUCGUUCAAUGAAAAUGAACAAGAAGUUAUUCUAAGUAAUUCAAAUAUAUUAAAAACUAAAAUAUCAGCUGAAGAAAUAAUAAGUUUAAAAGCUAACAUAAGCAGUACCUAUGCCAACAUGAAAAUAUUUUUUAGGUGGUUGAAAACCAAGAACAUCAUUUGUGCUUCAAACGCACAACAAAGAUGCGUUGCUAAGAAAUGGUCAUGUGAUGAUCUUAUUAUUGAAAAAGCUCCAUUUAUGGUUGAAAAAAAAGAGUCCAAAGGUUCUUAUGAAAUAAAAGAAUUGCCAUGUGCUUAUAUUAACAAUAUUCUAAAAUUUAAUUUUCUAUAAUAUACUUUAGCAACAACUUACUAUUGAACAAAAAGAUUAAAAGCAAUGAAAUCCAUAUAAAAAUAGGAGGUGACCAUGGAGGUGGCUCGUUCAAAAUGUGUUACCAAGUAGUGAACGUAGAGAAACCUAAUGCAAAAACAAACACAACUGUCUUUAAUAUAUUUGAAGCAAAUGAUUGUAAAACAAAUCUGAAGUUUUCACUGUCAAGAUUUAAGUCAGAAAUUGAUUUGUUGCAAAAUACCAUUUGGAGGUAAGAAUUUUCAAACGUAGAGAAAAACAGAUUCGUAUAUUUUUAUUUGGUGAUUACAAAUUCUUGUGUGCAAUCUAUGGAAUAACUGGUGCAACUGGUAGACAUGCAUGUCUGUUAUGCAACAUUACAAGACAAGGAAUGUCAACUCUAAUCAAGGACAAUAUUGAAAUGCGAUCACUUGAGACACUAGAUUCACAUUUAGAAAAAUAUAAAAAUCAUGGUUCAGAUCCCAAAUUUGCCAAGUUAUGUGAUAAUGUUAUUGACCAAAGGUUAUUUAAUGUGCCACUUGAUCAGAUUGGAAUUUCAGCAUUACAUAUCUUGCUUGGUACGUAUUUAAAAUUUUUCAAUAUGUUAGAAGAUUCUUGUCAUACAAUUGACGUCAAAAUUGCAUGUCGAAUGGCAGUAAACAACCAAACACUUGACUGUGAAGAGUUUAACAAAUAUAUUGAGAAACAACGUCAAAUAAAACAACUUCAGACAAGUAUUUAGGAUAUUAAAAAUAAAACAGGUAUCAUAACAGAAGCACUUGAAACUCACAUAUAAGCUAACCCUGAAAAUGAAGAAUAUAUAAAGUUAGUAUUUGAACCACGUAUAAGUCACUUUGAAGAGAAAAAAAAAGAAAAGAUCUCAGAAUUGAAAAUAAUGAAAGAAACUGACCAUGUAGAGAUGUCAUUUGAUUCACUAGUAAAUAAACUUGACGAGGUAAUUAAUUUGUUAAGAGUGCAAAGGCAAGCAUACUAUGGAAAAAGUUUUGUUGGUAACCAUGUUAACAAAAUGUUUAAGAUGAAAAGUAUCCUCGAACUAUGCAACUCAAUACUAAAGCUCGUAGUCGAACUUGGGUUCAAGGAUACUGAUAUACACAAUGAAACUAUUGAACUUUGUCAGAACUUUAAAGUCCUAUUUGAUAAGUUUGGGGUUUGCCACAAGCUUAUUAACUCCUGCAAGCAGUUCAACGAAGAAAACAUUCAAAAUCUUGGUAUGACAUCUAUCUGUGAAGGAACAAGUUUUGAUCAGCAUUCAGCGAGUUAAUGAUAAAUUUAAGAUUGAGAAGCUUUUUAUGUGAUUUUACCAAACCGAGAACAUCAAGAGCGUAGCUUUGUUAAACUGUGUUAUAGACGUUUUGUGUCAAUUUUGCCUUUUAAUUCAGAAUAGUCAAAGCCGAUGAUUUGACGGAUCGUCUAACAUGUUUGGAAGUAUUUAUGGGUUGCAGACUUUAAUGAGAGGAAAAGAAGAGCGGGCAAUUUACGUGCAAUGUUAUGCUCAUAAUCUCAGUUUGGUAGAAUGAGAUUCUGUUGACAAUCAAAUAGAGAUCAAGAAUAUAACUAAUUUGGUGUAAUCAUUCAUUGCAUUUGCCCGUGUAUCUCCAAAACACCUAGCAUGUUUCAAUAAAUUUUGUAGAAAAAUGUAGAGGAUGUAGAAAGCGGAACAUCAUUGCGGCUAUUUUGCCCCACUCGAUAGAUCCUUAGAAAACCAUCCAUUAUAUCUAUUACAAGUAACUAGUCCGCCAUUACCAGAUGGUUAGAGGAUUUUGAAAAUUAUUCUGAUAAUUCAGCCAAAAAUAAGUCAAAAGCAGCAGGUUAUCUGGAAUCUUUUUGUAAGUUUGACAUAUUUUUGAAACUGAAAAUUUUGCGCAUAACCUUCAUGAUAAUUGAGGAUGCGCAUAACCUUCAUGAUAAUUGAGGAUGCGCAUAACCUUCAUGAUAAUUGAGGAUGCUAAUACAGCACUCCAAGGUAAAGAUUGUUUUCUUUUAUGGUGAAUUUUUAUUUAAUAUAUUAAAUUAUGAUAAUUGAGGCAGAUGCAGAUGCCUCGGAAAUGUAAAAUUUCAUUACAAUUUUCUGGAAGUGGAGUUCCAUACUUUGCUACGACUUCAGAUGACCACUACCGCCAGCUUUACUAUGCAUUUCUGGAUUGUUAUUUAUAAAGAAAUUUGUGACCCGUUUUGAACUGACAAAGACCACUGAGAAUUUAGAAAUAUAGAAAUGUUUAUCAUUGGUCAGUGCUUGAAAUGUAGGAUUCGUUUAGGCUUUUUUACAAAGAUGGCUUUGAAAAUUAUAGAAGUCUAAAACUGCAUUGCGAUUUAUUUGUGAAUUAUGCCAAAUAUUAAACUAAAUGAUUUUGAAUCAGUUUUGAGCAAGCUUGUAGACUAUGAUGGUGUAUUUUCUCAAUUAAUUCCACUGAUUCCCAAUUUUAUAAAACUAGUAAUAAUUUUAUUAUGUAUGCCUGUCACCGUGUCACACGCGAACGUGUGAGCGCUCUUUUUCUUGUCUUCGUAGGCUAAAGACUUGUUUGCGUUUUACAAUGUCUCAAGAAAGAUUGAAUCAUCUCGUUCUUUUAAAUUGCCAUAGUUAUAUCGCCUGCACUCGGAUAAUAACUUUUUGUGUUAUUUAAAUUUUGUGUUAU